CACUGCAACAUCACAGGCUGUGUAUUAUUGCUAUGUGUGAAACCUCAGCCAGCAUAAUCCCGACAUGAGGAACUUCCACAUGCUCAGCCACUGGACAAUACUAUGAAAUAAGGAGACGGUAUGAGAACUAGCUAAGGAGAACAGAACAGAGGACAAGAUCCAUUUUAGCUAGUCAUUCGUAUCAAGUAAAUUUAAG